GUGAACGCUGGCGGUAGGCCUAACACAUGCAAGUCGAACGGCAGCACAGUAAGAGCUUGCUCUUACGGGUGGCGAGUGGCGGACGGGUGAGGAAUACAUCGGAAUCUACUUUUUCGUGGGGGAUAACGUAGGGAAACUUACGCUAAUACCGCAUACGACCUACGGGUGAAAGCAGGGGAUCUUCGGACCUUGCGCGAUUGAAUGAGCCGAUGUCGGAUUAGCUAGUUGGCGGGGUAAAGGCCCACCAAGGCGACGAUCCGUAGCUGGUCUGAGAGGAUGAUCAGCCACACUGGAACUGAGACACGGUCCAGACUCCUACGGGAGGCAGCAGUGGGGAAUAUUGGACAAUGGGCGCAAGCCUGAUCCAGCCAUACCGCGUGGGUGAAGAGGGCCUUCGGGUUGUAAAGCCCUUUUGUUGGGAAAGAAAAGCAGCAGGUUAAUACCCCGCUGUUCUGACGGUACCCAAAGAAUAAGCACCGGCUAACUUCGUG
rnacentral:rRNA from 1 species